rnacentral:rRNA from 1 species
UACGUAGGGGGGCAAGCGUUGUCCGGAUUUAUUGGGCGUAAAGAGCGUGUAGGCGGCUUUACAGGUCCGUUGUGAAAACUCGAGGCUCAACCUCGAGACGCCGGUGGAAACCGUAAGGCUAGAGUCCGGAAGAGGAGAGUGGAAUUCCUGGUGUAGCGGUGAAAUGCGCAGAUAUCAGGAGGAACACCCGGUGGCGAAAGGCGGGUCU